rnacentral:lncRNA from 1 species
GAAAAUCAGAAUGCUCCUGGGACUUUCUGGCCCUCUUCCUUUACUCACAGGAAGAGAAAUCCUGCUUUUCAGUUCAUAUGAAAAGGCUGAGUCUUUCAAAAAUGUUCACAUAGCCUAGCCCAUUGCUUAGGCCCCCAGUACCUGGAUUUCAAAUACCCAGUACUGCACAGGGUGUGCCUGGUCUCUGCUGCUCAGAAAAUCCUACUUGCGAAGCAUCAGAACCAGUAGGCCUUGGAAAAUGCAUCUUGAUUACUGAGAGCAGGAGCAGAUUUAAAUACAGCCAUGCACAUGCAGAAGCACGAGGGGAAGAAAAAGUGAAAACGAGAUCAAGGACAUACAGACAUGGAAUUACUGAGGGCUUUGAAAUAGAGAAAUUACACCAAGUUGCAGUCUCAGGCCUGAGUUACUACUUCUGGAUAUGAAUUAUUCAACAUUUCUUUAAUGCCUGAAAAGAUAAAGAAUAUCCUUUUAGCUUUGCAGAUAUGGGACAGCAGAAGAGCUACUGCUAUGGAAAUAAAAACUUACCUGUUUUCUUAAAGGUCUCAAAAUCUGUGCUGUACUUGCACAUAUUUAGGAUAAAAAUCAUUUAGAUAUGCAUUUUGCUAAUUCACUUUGUAGGAGAUACUAUACCAUUAUGCAGAAUAUAAUAUUAAAUACUAGACUUU